AUGGGUUCUAGAUUGAGUAUGCAAUCAAAAGAUUUCGGCGCGACCGUACGUACUGGUUGUGAGGAAAUUCUGGUAAUACCACACCUUCCUCACGGGUCGGGGAAAUGUUACGGUGAAUUGCGCCGGCCCAUUGUAGCGACGCCGCUGAAGCAGCGCGUCAUAAACAAAGCGUUGCGUAGACCGGUGACAAAUGUCACGAGUGACAUUCGCGACGUGUGUCUGGGGAUGGUUCAGCGAAGAUGGAUGUAAACAAAAGAAAAAGAAUUUUGUUCCCGCACGAAACCGCGAUGUGUGCGACAUUGCGGUGCAGUUUGCUUUAAUGUAUUUAUAAUUUUGUGUUGUUAAAAAUGUAAAUUGAAAAGCAGAUCCCAAACUAUCGCUAUCGUGGAGGUUUGGAACCAGCUGCUAAAGGGCAGUGACUAGUAAGAGAGCAGAGCGGGCAAGUGUGACCUGGGCCUGGCGGAAGAAGACCAAUCUUUUAGCUCGACAUGCACCCACAGAGAGACAGGGUGUCAGCUCAAAAGACUUCUUUUACUCGUCGCAACAGCUUCCAAAAC